AGGCGGAAGGGAUCUCGGCCCAGAGGAAGCCUUAGAGCGACUGUAUACCUUACUGUCUGACUCGGGACACUGUUGAGAGGGAAAGGGAGAAACUAAUCAUCACGCCAGGAGAUGUGGACACGGUGACCGUUCUGGGCACUCUGCGAACUGUGCCUCUUUGAGUCUUCUGGCAGACUAACCUCCUUUACAGCUGGAUGGAGCCUUGGGACUAGGUUCUGGACAACUGGAUAUUAACAGAAAUGAUGUGCAAUCUCUAGAUGCCAUUAAAGAAGGAGGCAGCCCUUUCUUUGCCUUUCGUCCUUUCUGCUGGCUGGAAUACAGACAUGCUGGUUGAAGCUGAAGCAGUCAUCUUGCACCAUGAAGUAAAUAUGGGAAAUGGAACUCAACCCAGAAAAGUACAAAACACAAGGAACUCCAAGAGCUAAUCUUGGAUAAGCACAGUUUGCCCACAACUGUGUGAAUCUGAAGUCACCGAAGAGAAGAGGUGAUAGG
rnacentral:lncRNA from 1 species